AAAUUGAAGAGUUUGAUCAUGGCUCAGAUUGAACGCUGGCGGCAGGCCUAACACAUGCAAGUCGAACGGUAGCACAGAAGAGCUUGCUCUUCGGGUGACGAGUGGCGGACGGGUGAGUAAUGUCUGGGAAACUGCCUGAUGGAGGGGGAUAACUACUGGAAACGGUAGCUAAUACCGCAUAACGUCGCAAGACCAAAGAGGGGGACCUUCGGGCCUCUU
rnacentral:rRNA from 1 species